rnacentral:rRNA from 1 species
AGGAUGAACGCUAGCGGCAGGCCUAAUACAUGCAAGUCGCGGGGUAAGGCUCUUUCGGGAGCACACGACCGGCGCACGGGUGCGUAACGCGUAUGCAACCUACCUAUAACAAGGGGAUAGCCCGGGGAAACCCGGAUUAAUACCCUAUAAAGCAGGGGUACUGCAUGGUACUAUUUGCUAAAGUUGAGGCGGUUAUAGAUGGGCACGCGUUAGAUUAGCUAGUUGGUAAGGUAACGGCUUACCAAGGCGACGAUCUAUAGGGGUUCUGAGAGGAAGGUCCCCCACACUGGCACUGAGAUACGGGCCAGACUCCUACGGGAGGCAGCAGUAAGGAAUAUUGGUCAAUGGGCGAGAGCCUGAACCAGCCAUGCCGCGUGCAGGAAGACGGCCUUCUGGGUUGUAAACUGCUUUUAUACGGGAAGAAAAAGGUCUUGCGAGGCUACUUGCCGGUACCGUAUGAAUAAGCACCGGCUAACUCCGUGCCAGCAGCCGCGGUAAUACGGAGGGUGCAAGCGUUGUCCGGAUUUAUUGGGUUUAAAGGGUGUGUAGGCGGUAGUUUAAGUCAGUGGUGAAAGUCUUGAGCUUAACUGAAGAAGUGCCAUUGAAACUGGAUU